rnacentral:rRNA from 1 species
GAUGAACGCUGGCGGCGUGCUUAACACAUGCAAGUCGAACGAAACACCUUAUUUGAUUUUCUUCGGAACUGAAGAUUCGGUGAUUGAGUGGCGGACGGGUGAGUAACGCGUGGGUAACCUGCCCUGUACAGGGGGAUAACAGUCAGAAAUGACUGCUAAUACCGCAUAAGACCACAGCACCGCAUGGUGCAGGGGUAAAAACUCCGGUGGUACAGGAUGGACCCGCGUCUGAUUAGCUGGUUGGUGAGGUAACGGCUCACCAAGGCGACGAUCAGUAGCCGGCUUGAGAGAGUGAACGGCCACAUUGGGACUGAGACACGGCCCAAACUCCUACGGGAGGCAGCAGUGGGGAAUAUUGCACAAUGGGGGAAACCCUGAUGCAGCGACGCCGCGUGAGUGAAGAAGUAUUUCGGUAUGUAAAGCUCUAUCAGCAGGGAAGAAAAUGACGGUACCUGACUAAGAAGCCCCGGCUAACUACGUG